GAUGAAGAACGUAGCGAAAUGCGAUAAGUAAUGUGAAUUGCAGAAUUCAGUGAAUCAUCGAAUCUUUGAACGCAUCUUGCGCUCCUUGGUAUUCUGAGGAGCAUGCCUGUUUGAGUGUCAUUAAAUUCUCAACUACACUGACUUUGAAUUGGUGUGGCUUGGAUUUGGGGGGAAAAUUGUUGUGGGCUUUUUGUAUAGUCUGCUCCCCUGAAAUUGAUUAGCGGUACCUUGUGGAACUGUCUACAGGUGUGAUAAUUAUCUACAUCUUAGACAUCUGCUGGAAUGCUGCUUUCUAAACCUUACUUGUAUUGACAAUCUUGACCUCAAAUCAGGUAGGACUACCCGCUGAACUUAAGCAUAUCAAUAAGCGGAGGA
rnacentral:misc_RNA from 1 species